rnacentral:rRNA from 1 species
UGGGGAAUCUUGGACAAUGGGGGCAACCCUGAUCCAGCGACGCCGCGUGGGUGGUAAGGCCUUCGGGUUGUAAAGCCCUUUCACCGGGGAAGAUAAUGACGGUAACCGGUAAAGAAGCCCCGGCUAACUUCGUGCCAGCAGCCGCGGUAAUACGAAGGGGGCUAGCGUUGUUCGGAAUUACUGGGCGUAAAGCGCGCGUAGGCGGACUAUUAAGUCAGGGGUGAAAUCCCGGGGCUCAACCUCGGAAUUGCCUUUGAUACUGGUAGUCUAGAGUCCGUGAGAGGUGAGUGGAACUCCGAGUGUAGAGGUGAAAUUCGUAGAUAUUCGGAAGAACACCAGUGGCGAAGGCGGCUCACUGGCACGGUACUGACGCUGAGGUGCGAAAGCGUGGGGAGCAAACAGGAUUAGAUACCCGUGUAGUCC